GAUUUCUUUUAAUUAUUAUAGCACUGUAGUGAUUUCUGUAAUUAAUGUGAUUUACUUUAAUUUCUGUGAUUUUAUAUUCGUUGUUGUUAAUUUUGUCAAUUCUUGCUUUAAUCCAAAGUCUGCAAUCAAGAAGACUAACAUUCAAUUUCUUUAUGAUUCAUCAAGAAUGGAACAAAGUGUAAUAAUCCUGGUUGGUUAAUUACCUUGUGGUUGGUCUUGAACCAAUCACCAAUGAGCAAAGUGAAAUCACCAGCAGGGUUUGGAUAAAGGAUUAGGAUGACAGAUCUGUGAUAGAAUUGAAUCCUCCAAAUCCUCCAACGGCUUUGUGAAAUGCAGUUGAUGGAAAGUAGGAAAAGGUGCCAAUAUGAUCCUUGGUUUAAAACUUGUAUGUGUAGUUUGAGUUUGGAGGAAUGGCACGGUUUGUUCCCAACACUCCAUCUUGCCAUGAGUUCUUCUUUUGCUUAAUGCCAUUCCUAUAUAUGUUUUUUGCUUCUUUUUUUUAUUUGUGUUCAGAAAAAUAUUCCUGGCAUUGUUGCUGCCAUGAAUUAUCUUCCCACCUAUUUAUGCCUUGUAUAAAUUUUAUUAAUCAUGACCUAAUAAUGUGGUUUGACUAUCAUCAUCUUAUACUUAAUAAAUUUACCUCUCUUGCACCAGCUAUGCUUCAAGUCAUCUCAAAUUAAUGUUGGAACUUGCAGUUUAAAGCAUUAUUUUGGGUUAUCAUCUUGUGGUUUGACUAUUAUCAUCUUGUUUGUUAUCUGCCUUAAGCAUGAUCUGUUAUUUUCUAUACACACUUGUCUAUUUAAUUGCAGGCAUUGGUGAAGAUGAUGCCUGUUUGAUGUACCUAUCAUCGAAUUACUGCAGGUGCCUAUAAUCUUUUAGAUGUGGUUCUUUACCAAGCAAGUUAUGGCCACAAUCUAUCAGCAAAAGGCGGUUGAUAUAAAUGAGAGGGAGAGCUUGGGCUUGAUCAUCCUGACACAAUAAAAAGCUAUGGGGACCUUUCUGUCUUUUACUAUCGUAUGCACCAAUACGAGCUCGCUUUGAAGUAGGUUACAAUGACUCUCCUCUUCAAAAUGGUUUAGAUGCCUAUGCCAUGAAGAAUUUCUGUUGAUUGUUGUAUUCAGGGCACCAAAAAACUGUGACUCUUUUAAUGCAGUGUGUCAGAUCUUCUGGAUUUUAUAAGUCCCGAGCUUGAUUCUAAUGGAAAUGAACAAGCUCAGAGAAAACAGCAGAUACUUCUACCAAUAAGUGAACAAAACCUUCAACGUGAAGAUGCACCAAGCAAUGUGGGUGUUGUCUAUAAUGGCUUGGAAUAUGCUACUGGUAU